rnacentral:misc_RNA from 1 species
UUUCCGUAGGUGAACCUGCGGAAGGAUCAUUAUUGUAUAACCGGGGUUCAAGGUCUGUCGCUCACCCAACUGUGCGUGCACGCUCGAGUGCCCGCGCAAACAUCCAUCCCACCCCUAUGGGCACCACAUCAUGGGUCCCCCUCUAGCUUGUUCCGAGAGGUGCUUGCGUUUUCACGCAAGCUUGUGAUGCAGGGUACUAUGUAUUGUUUGUUGUUGCUAUCACGCAUUCUAUACAAAUUUCAACAACGGAUCGCUUGCCUCUGGCGUCGAUGAAGAAAC